UACGUAGGGUGCGAGCGUUGUCCGGAAUUAUUGGGCGUAAAGGGCUCGUAGGCGGUUUGUCGCGUCGGGAGUGAAAUCCACUGGCUUAACUGGUGGCUUGCUUUCGAUACGGGCAGACUGGAGGCAUGCAGGGGAGAACGGAAUUCCUGGUGUAGCGGUGAAAUGCGCAGAUAUCAGGAGGAACACCGGUGGCGAAGGCGGUUCUCUGG
rnacentral:rRNA from 1 species